UACGAAGGGGGCUAGCGUUGCUCGGAAUCACUGGGCGUAAAGCGCACGUAGGCGGCUUUCUAAGUCAGGGGUGAAAUCCUGGAGCUCAACUCCAGAACUGCCUUUGAUACUGGAGAGCUUGAGUCCGGGAGAGGUGAGUGGAACUCCGAGUGUAGAGGUGAAAUUCGUAGAUAUUCGGAAGAACACCAGUGGCUAAGGCGGCUCACUGGCCCGGUACUGACGCUGAGGUGCGAAAGCGUGGGGAGCAAACAGG
rnacentral:rRNA from 1 species